rfam:Gossypium arboreum cultivar AKA8401 contig_26292_3, whole genome shotgun sequence.
AGUUAAAAUUUUCAUCUAUAUCUACUAUUACAAACUAUCACGACUGACGAAAUAACCACACAAUUACACUUAGCCUACCACAUGUACUUCAUGUUGACAUACAUGGACCAAUUUUUAAUAAUAGAAAUGGAUAAAAAUUUUAACA